ACAUCUACUUCAUCACUUAUUCUCCAAAAAAUUUCUCCCUAAGGAAAUCCAUAAAAAGCUUCAAGAAUUCUGAUCUACAACUUCACCAUUAAAAUAUGAAGGAAACAUGUGUUUUUAAAGUACAAGUUGGUAGAACAUCUUCCAUCUUAAGGAAUUGAAGUGAAUAAUCUGAUUAACAUCAAGUUAAGGGGAAGAGGACAACGUAAACCUUGAGCAUCAAAGUCUUAGCAAGUGAGGUUUCUUUCCAGCAUGAUAAAUAAUUUGAAAGGAAGAUGGUUAGUUCGUUGUAAUAUCCAUUGUGCAGCAAGGAAAACUUUCCAGAAUGAAAACGUGGAAGAAUUGUGCUGAAAUUGCAGAAGUGAUGACUUAUGGAGCCACCGACGGUCCAUCUCGUCUAAAGAAAAAUGUUGUUGAAGGAAGAUCGGGGAAUUCUGACAAAGUAUGAGGCUACGGAAGCUAUCGACGGACCAUUAUAUCCACGACGGACUGUCUUGCACAUCAGUCAUUGCUAACAGAGAGAAGCCCCAGUACCCGUGGAGAAAUGGAAGCCAUCGAUGGACUGUCAUGAACUCAACAGACCGUCAUCCUGGUCCGUCAAUGGUAACACUGAGUUGGAGAAGAAAGAAGCUAAAAAGACUCUAAGUGGGGAACGACGGGAGGCCUCGACGGUCCGUCGGUCUGGUCGUCGACUCAGACGCAUUUUUGGGUAGAUUUUCCUUUAAUAUAAUUCCUUUUUUUGUUAGGACUUCUUUAUUAUAAAUACUGGUAUAAACCUCGUUUUUGAGGUUAGACUCUUGGUUAUUUUUCUAAU